rfam:Triticum aestivum genome assembly, contig: Triticum_aestivum_CS42_TGACv1_scaffold_146559_2BS
UAAAUACUCCCUCCGUCCGAAAAUACUUGUCAUCAAAAUGGAUAAAAAGAGAUGUAUCUCAAACUAAAUCUAUCUAGAUACAUCCCCUUCUAUCCAUUUUGAUGACAAGUAUUUCCGGACGGAGGGAGUAUGUA